UUUUGCAGCUGAGUCUGAAAUUAUAAUUUGUUUCUAAUAGCUAAUAUCAUAUCAACAAUGUGUGGAGCUACUUCUUCUUACAGCUCUCCGAACGACUGCUUUUAAUACUCUUAUCAGACCUACUGCCCUCUAACGGGAAACUGGAGAAAGUCGACAGGAAGAUGGAUGAAGCAAAAUACAGGCCAAUCCUGGGAAAAAAAAAAAAAAAUCAGUUUGAGGUGGUUAUUUUGCAAAGAAGAAGCAACAAAACUUCAGUCUCUAGAUGUUCAAAGCUGGUGGAGACAGACAAAAAAACUGGAGCUGUAAUUGCAGCUAAUGGUUGUUUUUGACAAUGUAUUACCAGUAUACAAAUACAACACUUUUUAGAUUUAUAUCUGUAAAAAAUAAAUGUAAAAAAACCCCCAAAAAA